GGGUCCAUAGCUCAGUGGCAGAGCGGCCGGCUCAUAACCGGUUGGUCCCAGGUUCGAAUCCUGGUGGACCCA
rnacentral:tRNA from 1 species